rnacentral:rRNA from 1 species
GUAGGGAAUAUUGCGCAAUGGGGGAAACCCUGACGCAGCGACGCCGCGUGAGUGAUGAAGGCCUUCGGGUCGUAAAGCUCUGUUGCAGGGGGAUAAAAAAAUGAAGGUACCCUGUGAGGAAGGAUCGGCUAACUUCGUGCCAGCAGCCGCGGUAAGACGAGGGAUCCUAGCGUUGCUCGGAAUCAUUGGGCGUAAAGAGGGCGUAGGUGGCUUGGUAAGUCAGGUGUGAAAGCCCAGGGCUCAACCCUGGAAGUGCAUUUGAUACUGCUGAGCUUGAGUGUCGGAGAGGUUACCGGAAUACCUGGUGUAGUGGUGAAAUACGUAGAUAUCAGGUGGAACACCGGAGGCGAAGGCGGGUAACUGGACGAACACUGACACUGAGGCCCGAAAGCGUGGGGAUCAAACAGGAUUAGAAACCCCUGUAGUCC